rnacentral:pre_miRNA from 1 species
GCCGGGGGGAGGGGUCCCUCAGCCCAGAUUGCAAGAGGGCACAGGCCAGGCCGAGGGACCCCACUGGUGCACG